rnacentral:rRNA from 1 species
AGGACGAACGCUGGCGGCGUGCUUAACACAUGCAAGUCGAGCGGUAAGGCCUUUCGGGGUACACGAGCGGCGAACGGGUGAGUAACACGUGGGUGAUCUGCCCUGCACUUCGGGAUAAGCCUGGGAAACUGGGUCUAAUACCGGAUAUGACCUCCUAUCGCAUGGUGGGUGGUGGAAAGAUUUUAUCGGUGCAGGAUGGGCCCGCGGCCUAUCAGCUUGUUGGUGGGGUAAUGGCCUACCAAGGCGACGACGGGUAGCCGACCUGAGAGGGUGACCGGCCACACUGGGGACUGAGACACGGCCCAGACUCCUACGGGAGCAGCAGUGGGAAUAUGCACAUGGGCGAAAGCCUGAUGCAGCGACGCCGCGUGAGGAUGGACGGCUUCGGGUUGUAAACCUCUUUCAGCAGGACGAAGCGACAAGUGACGGUACCUGCAAGAAGAAGCACGGCUAACGACGU